GCGGAGGAAAAGAAACCAACAGGGAUUGCCUCAGUAACGGCGAGUGAAGCGGCAAAAGCUCAAAUUUUAAAGCUGGCACCUCCGGUGUCCGCGUUGUAAUUUUGUGAGGCAUCUCCGGGUGGGGCGCCGGCCUAAGUUCCUUGGAACAGGACGUCAUAGAGGGUGAGAAUCCCGUGCUUGGCUGGCUGUCCCCGUCCAUGUGAGGUGUCUUCGACGAGUCGAGUUGUUUGGGAAUGCAGCUCAAAAUGGGUGGUAAAUUUCAUCUAAAGCUAAAUAUUGGUGGGAGACCGAUAGCGCACAAGUAGAGUGAUCGAAAGAUGAAAAGCACUUUGAAAAUAGAGUUAAAAAGUACGUGAAAUUGUUGAAAGGGAAGCGCUUGAGACCAGACUUCGGUGGGGAGUGAUCAGCCGUCCUUCUGGGCGGUGCACUUGCCCCCCUCCGGGCCAGCAUCGGUUGGGACGGCGGGAUAAAGGUCCCGGGAAUGUGGCUCCUCUCGGGGAGUGUUAUAGCCCGGGUGAAUGCCGCCAGCCCCGACCGAGGACCGCGCCUUCGGGCUAGGAUGCUUGGCAUAAUGGUCUUCAGCGACCCGUCU
rnacentral:rRNA from 1 species